rnacentral:rRNA from 1 species
GUAAACGACGGACGUGAUUCGAGCUCGGAACUCGCGGUGCUCUAGAUUAACCGUCAUGGCUCUUAAACAGUUAUAGUUUAUUUGGUACAUUAAAUGGAUAACUGUAGAAAAACUAGAGCUAAUACAUGCCAAAGCCUCACGGUUGUAUUUAUUAGAUAUUCCAAUUAGGUGAAUCAUAAUAACUUCGCAAAUCUCGGUUUUGCCGAGAUAAAUCAUCCAAGUUUCUGCCCUAUCAUGCUUUCGUUGGUAGUGUAUUGGACUACCAUGGCUCUCACGGGUAACAGGGAAUUAUGGGUUCGCUAAACGGAGAAGGAGCCUGAGAAACGGUCUACUACAUCUACGGAAGGCAGCAGGCGCGUCACACCACCCAAUCCUGACUCAGGGAGGUGGUGACAAGAUAUAAUGACGCUAUGAAAAAUAGUGAUUAUAGUGAGGGUAUUCCAAACCGAACCACAAGUACGAUUAGAGGGCAAGUCUGGUGCCAGCAGCCGCGGUAAUUCCAGCUCUAAUAGCGUAUAUUAAAGUUGCUGCAGUAAAAGCUCGUAGUUGGAUUUCAAGGACACGUAUUCCCCGGAUAUGUGCCCUACUAGCCUUUCGCUGUACUGUGAGAAAUAGAGUGUUAGCAGCUUUGCAGAUAUAGCAUGAUACGAUGAACUGACAAGUAAUCAGAUCGAUAUGAGAGUGGGCUAGAUAUGCCAGGAAUGAUGUAACAGUGCGACUGCAGAGUCUUCAGAGGAGAGGGAGCAACGACGCGCUCUACACUCGCAGUGGAGAGAUAA